rnacentral:lncRNA from 1 species
AUUGCCAAACAUGUAGAGUAAAAAAGAAAAAAGAAACAGAACAAAAACCAAGAGAAAAUAGAGGGGAUGAGGAAGAUAAAAGAACUUGAUCUUAAUAGAUAUGAAGGAAAAAAAAAGCCACUAAACACUAGAGAGGAGAAAAAAAGAAAAAGAAAAGCUACAAUCCUAGAAACCAAAACCCUGUUAAAAUUGCCACCCACUUAAAAUAAUAGAACUCAAAAAGAAGAGGAGAUGUUGUCUAAUGAACUGAGACUUGACUGCAUCAUCAUCAUCUCAUCAUCCUCAUCAUCAUCAUUUUAACUCAGCUCUCACCACCAUUGAUUUUGUAAAAAAUCUAAAAAGCAUCAGUAGUAUUGUGGAUUCAUUCUGGAGACUAGCAAAAGCAAGAAGAGACAUAUUCCAUAAUUGUAGCCAAAAUAAGUAUGGAGAGAAACUAGCCAGUAGCUUGUUCCUUUUUUUUUUUUAUAUAUCCAAAGCAGCAAAACUUCUGACAAAACUCCUUGUACCAAGAAGCUUCCAUUAAACUGCAGGCAGAGGAGGAGAAGAAGAAAGACAGCUAAACCACCACCCGCACACUUAAUAUCCGUUUGCUA